rnacentral:rRNA from 1 species
UAUGGUAAUUGUGGCAGCCGCGGUAAUACGUAGGGAGCAAGCGUUGUCCGGAUUUACUGGGUGUAAAGGGUGCGUAGGCGGCUUUGCAAGUCAGAUGUGAAAUCUAUGGGCUCAACCCAUAGCCUGCAUUUGAAACUGCAGAGCUUGAGUGAAGUAGAGGCAGGCGGAAUUCCCCGUGUAGCGGUGAAAUGCGUAGAGAUGGGGAGGAACACCAGUGGCGAAGGCGGCCUGCUGGGCUUUAACUGACGCUGAGGCACGAAAGCGUGGGUAGCAAACAGG